rnacentral:rRNA from 1 species
UACGUAGGGGGCAAGCGUUGUCCGGAUUUAUUGGGCGUAAAGAGCGUGUAGGCGGCUAUACAGGUCCGCUGUGAAAACUCGAGGCUCAACCUCGAGAUGUCGGCGGAAACCAUCUGGCUAGAGUCCGGAAGAGGAGAAUGGAAUUCCCGGUGUAGCGGUGAAAUGCGCAGAUAUCAGGAGGAACACCGAUGGCGAAGGCAGGUCUCUGGGCCACUACUGACGCUGAGAAGCGAAAGCGUGGGGAGCGAACAGG